UACGUAGGUGGCAAGCGUUGUUCGGAAUUAUUGGGCGUAAAGGGCGCGUAGGCGGUUGGUUAAGUCAGCUGUGAAAGCCCGGGGCUCAACUCCGGAACUGCCUUUAAGACUGCAUCGCUUGAAUCCAGGAGAGGUGAGUGGAAUUCCGAGUGUAGAGGUGAAAUUCGUAGAUAUCGGGAGGAACACCAGUGGCGAAGGCGGCGACCUGGGCCAAUACUGACGCUGAGGUGCGAAAGCGUGGGGAGCAAACAGG
rnacentral:rRNA from 1 species